rnacentral:rRNA from 1 species
GUGUCAGCAGCCGCGGUAAUACAGAGGGUGCGAGCGUUAAUCGGAAUUACUGGGCGUAAAGCGCGCGUAGGCGGUUUGUUAAGUCGGAUGUGAAAUCCCCGGGCUCAACCUGGGAACUGCAUUCGAUACUGGCAAGCUAGAGUAUGGGAGAGGAUGGUAGAAUUCCAGGUGUAGCGGUGAAAUGCGUAGAGAUCUGGAGGAAUACCGAUGGCGAAGGCAGCCAUCUGGCCUAAUACUGACGCUGAGGUGCGAAAGCAUGGGGAGCAAACAGGAUUAGAUACCCUGGUAGUCCAUGCCGUAAACGAUGUCAACUAGCCGUUGGGGACCUUGAGUCUUUAGUGGCGCAGCUAACGCGAUAAGUUGACCGCCUGGGGAGUACGGCCGCAAGGUUAAAACUCAAAGAAAUUGACGG